AUUGAACGCUGGCGGCAGGCCUAACACAUGCAAGUCGAACGGAGUGGCGGAAGGGUGAGUAAUGUAUGGGAAACUGCCUGGUAGUGGGGGAUAACGUCCGGAAACGGGCGCUAAUACCGCAUAAUAUCAGAGGAGUCUAGGUCGGAUUAGCUAGUUGGUGGGGUAAAGGCCUACCAAGGGGAAGAUCCGUAACUGGUGUGAGAGGAUGAUCAGUCACACUGGAACUGAGACACGGUCCAGACGCCUACGGGAGGCAGCAGUGGGGAAUAUUGGACAAUUGGCGAAAGCCUGAUCCAGCCAUGCCGCGUGUGUGAAGAAGGUAUUCGGAUUGUAAAGCACUUUAAGUUGGGAGGCGUUACCAACAGAAUAAGCACCGGCUAACUUCGUGCCAGCCGCCGCGGUAAUAC
rnacentral:rRNA from 1 species